GGUCCUGUAGCUCAGUUGGUAGAGCAUCGGAUUGAAAAUCCGUGUGUCGGCGGUUCGAGCCCGCCUGGGACCACCA
rnacentral:tRNA from 3 species